AACGAACGCUGGCGGCAUGCCUAACAUAUGCAAGUCGAACGAGAUCUUCGGGUCUAGUGGCGCACGGGUGCGUAACGCGUGGGAAUCUGCCCCUUGGUUCGGAAUAACAGUUGGAAACGACUGCUAAUACCGGAUGAUGACGAAAGUCCAAAGAUUUAUCGCCAGAGGAUGAGCCCGCGUAGGAUUAGCUAGUUGGUGUGGUAAAGGCGCACCAAGGCGACGAUCCUUAGCUGGUCUGAGAGGAUGAUCAGCCACACUGGGACUGAGACACGGCACAGACUCCUACGGGAGGCAGCAGAGGGGAAUAUUGGACAAUGGGCGAAAGCCUGAUCCAGCAAUGCCGCGUGAGUGAUGAAGGCCUUAGGGUUGUAAAGCUCUUUUACCCGGGAUGAUAAUGACAGUACCGGGAGAAUAAGCUCCGGCUAACUCCGUGCCAGCCGCCGCCGUAA
rnacentral:rRNA from 1 species